rnacentral:rRNA from 1 species
UACGGAGGAUCCAAGCGUUAUCCGGAUUUAUUGGGUUUAAAGGGUGCGUAGGCGGCUUUUUAAGUCAGGGGUGAAAGACGGUGGCUCAACCAUCGCAGUGCCCUUGAUACUGAGGAGCUGGAUUAAACUUGAGGUAGGCGGAAUGUGACAAGUAGCGGUGAAAUGCAUAGAUAUGUCACAGAACACCGAUUGCGAAGGCAGCUUACUAAGGUUUUAAUGACGCUGAGGCACGAAAGCGUGGGGAUCAAACAGG